CUCGUUCACAUCACACCUGUACAGGACCUGAAUCAUUUCUUUCUGUUCUUAAAAAAAAGAGAAAAAAAAUCGUUGAAACCACAUGGUGCGAAAAUGUUAAUAAUAAUACACUGGACACGAGCUAACACGUGUUUGGCAUGAAAGGUUAUGUGCAAUCAGGUAUAUAAGGGAAUGAUCUUAUGAAGGUGAUGCUUCAAGUAUACACGUAUGCUGAAGAAAUUGAGGAUAAUCAAAAAGCACGAUUUUUAUAAAGAGAGCUAACCAUCGACAGUAUGGUACAAUUUCACUGUCAUGGAGUUGCUCUCUUUGUGGAUGUCGCUUAAAUCAACAACAAUCAACAACAGCAUCAACAUUUGGUUAUGUAAAAUUUUAAAAUAAGAAUAAAUAUAAAUUUCAUUCUACAGA